UACAGAGGCCUCAAGCGUUGUGCGGAAUCACUGGGCUUAAAGGGUGCGUAGGCGGCCUCGUCAGUGCUUUGUGAAAUCCCAGGGCUUAACCCUGGAAUCGCUUGGCAUACUGCGGGGCUUGAGGUCGGUAGAGGUUGCUGGAACUCUAGGUGGAGCGGUGAAAUGCGUAGAUAUCUAGAGGAACGCCCAAGGUGAAGACAGGCAACUGGGCCGAUUCUGACGCUGAGGCACGAAAGCGUGGGUAGCGAACGGG
rnacentral:misc_RNA from 1 species